GUAGGUGAACCUGCGGAAGGAUCAUUAUCACGUUAUCCACGUAUAAACCAAAUUAUAAAUGUGAACUGUUAUUUACGCCUUUGGAAAUAAUCAAAGCUAUCAGUAGAUUGUGCUCGAUAUUUGGAUUUUGUUCAUUAUUAUAGGUUUUGAACUGCCGAGUAUCAUUUAUGAGUGCUUUCCAUUGUUUGGUACAUUCCAAAGUGUAUUAACCUAUUAACUUAUUAACCAAUUGAACCGUAACAUAGUUAAA
rnacentral:misc_RNA from 1 species